AAGAAAUCACUAAUCUGCCUA
rnacentral:miRNA from 1 species